CAGUCGCCGCGGUAAUACGUAGGGUGCAAGCGUUAAUCGGAAUUACUGGGCGUAAAGCGUGCGCAGGCGGUUUGUUAAGACAGAUGUGAAAUCCCCGGGCUCAACCUGGGAACUGCAUUUGUGACUGGCAGGCUAGAGUAUGGCAGAGGGGGGUGGAAUUCCGCGUGUAGCAGUGAAAUGCGUAGAUAUGCGGAGGAACACCGAUGGCGAAGGCAGCCCCCUGGGCCAAUACUGACGCUCAUGCACGAAAGCGUGGGGAGCAAACAGGAUUAGAUACCCCGGUAGUCCCUGUCUCUUAUAC
rnacentral:rRNA from 1 species